GUUCGAGCUAAUGUCCAGGAGGUGGCGGUAGUGGGUCUAUAAAGCUGGAGGCUACCAGAAAAACUCAGAAAAGAAGAAGUCUCAGCCAAUCAACGGCCUCCAUAGUCUGUGAUGUAGAAAACAUUUGAAAACUGCAGCGGUGAGGUGACAAACAUUCAGGCGUCUCUGAAAGUCAAAUGCUGAUUGAAUCUCUUUCUAAAUGGAGCAGACUUCCUAAUAACCGGCUUACAGCUUCGUGACAAACAUAAAUAAACACACAGAGGACAGUGUUUUAAGGCUACUGCCACAAAUUCUAGACCAAGAGAUUUUGGAUCUGAGAAGUGACUCGGAAAAACUCGAGAGUAAAACGCUGUCCAUCAUGUCGAACGAGACAUCUGCACAAGCUUCAGUUGUUCAAGAAGACCCAGAUGAAAGUUCUGAAAAUAUACCCCCUGGAGUUGCUGGGUUUUGCGGGCCUAAAGGCAAGAAACAUCUCACUCCAAGUGCUUUGAAGGAUUUGAGGAACAGGAUGCUGUUCUCCAGUGGUGCUGGUGCUUUGAACAACAGUGAGUAUUGGAUCGAAAAUGAAACCUUGCCGGAGGUGUCGUCUCUCCUUGACGACACGUGGGACGACUCAGUGCUCGCGUUGAGGAAUGAUUCAGCUCUUCCCGAAAGCCCUUCAACGUCUCACACCUCUGCUUUCCGGACUUCUCUGACACCACGUUUUAAAGUCUUUAACUUGGCCAAGAAACAUCCCACUCCAAGUGCUUUGAAGGAUUUGAUGAACACGAUGGUGUUCUCCUGCGGUGCUGGUGGUUCGGACGCCCCGGAGUUUUGGCUCAACAAUGAAACCUUGCCUAAAGUUUCUUUCCUUGACGACACAAGUGAUGUCUCAAUGGUGAUGAAUGAUUCAACUCUUCCUGACAAUGCUCCUUCAACUCCCCUAACAGACAAGAAUAUGAAUGCCACUUUACCUGCUCUCCUGCCUCCUCAGCUGGAUUCAUUCUCUCAAUUAAACGCUAAAGAAAAGACUCCCAACCUGAAGAAUAUAACCAUAGCCAAAGAGGAAAGCGAGGCUAUGGGAGAAGCUAGUUCACUACGCAAGAAUACCAGUGGGUCGGCAGGAAGCUUGUCACUUACGAAGGAUGCAGUUAAGAAACCCUGUGAAAGUGUUGAUGCAGGGGAUGUGGCGUCACACAUUCCCCUCCGAAAUGACACGUUCGACUAUGAAUGCUCUGGAAGUAAAGACGCUUCUUUGUCUGAAACGAGCUCCUCGAGCGCCAAAAUAAAUUGUAAUGAAAUUAAUUUAGAGAUGUCAAAACCAGUUGAAAAGAAUUCCUUGUUGGAUGUAAAAAGCUUAGAUGUUGGACAAGAUUCUGAGCUCUCACUGACUAGUCAAAUGUCUCCAAUGGAUAUUACAAAGGAUCUGAUCAUUCCUGAUUGUGUGGAAAGCAGCCAGCCUUUGUCAGAGCUCAAUGGAGCAAUGAAAGUGUCUUUUGAAGAGACGUCAAGUGUUUUGGAGAAAAGUCAAUCGUCACUGAAGCCCAUGGAACAGACCAUGGACAAACUCCAAACAUCAGCCGAAGACGCAUCUGAUCGCCAACCUGCUAGUGUUAUUCCUGACAUCAGCUCCUGUAGCAACAUAUCUACCCUGUCCUCCAACUCUGAUAUAGAUUGUAGUUCAAAGGUCACUGAGCCACACUGUGAACAAAUGAAGACUUCUUCUCUGGAAUCUGACGAGCAAGACUUGCAUAGCGGCUGUUGCACAAAUCUAGCCAUGAGGGUGUCUAACAAAUUUGGAUCUGCACAUGUCAUAUUUACCCCUGAACAGCCAUCUAGGCACGAUCCACCCACAACAUUAAACACCACUGAAUCAAUCCAGAAUCAGACUCUACAUCUGACGCCAGUUAUUGAAAACAGUUCCAAGCCAAUGAGUGAGAAAACAAGUUCAUUUGCAUCUGAAACCUCCCCGGUCAUGCAUUUAAACUCCUCGGGUAGUCAGAAAUCCAGUAGGAACCCAGUUAUCGGGGAAACCUUUAACAUGAAGAACAACACCUGUGAAUGUACACCUACUAAAGAAAAUGCCAAUAUUACUUCUAGUCAACCAAACACUGUGGACAAGUCGUCUUCUAAAGCUUGCAACGUCACCUACAGCUUUGAAGACGCCACACCUCUUCUUCAAAGUAAUGAAACUGCAAAAGCUAUCAAAGAUCCUAAUGCCAACAACAUCGGCAAAACUUCAGAGGACACAUUUGAAGGUAAAAGUGUAUUAAAGGGAACAUUUGAAGCUGAGAAACGUGAGAGUCUGAAUCAUUCACAAUCAGAUGUGUUUUUGGAUUCCUUAAACCGACAAAAUGCCAUCAAUGACUUCAACAAAGCAAGAACGUUUAAUCUGGAAGACUCUUUAGAUUUAAAGGAGGCGUCUCUGUUGACAUCUACACCUAUGCCCAACCAGAAAAUGUUCAACCUAAAUGUUAAGGGUGAGGUGAACCAGAACCUAGAAGCCCAGAGGAAACUUUACGAAGAUGUUGAUAAUAAACCAGUUGCUUCGGCGUCUUCUUCAGACAUCCCGACAAACCUCGUCUGUGUCCCUAAAACCUUCUUCAAACUGCCCGUGUCCAAAAGCCUUUUCCUUGCUCCCAGAGCUACAUCCCAGCUGCUAAAACCCAAACUAACAUCUGCAAUAGCAGGACCGCCAUCAGGCCUGCCCAUGACCAGGCUGCGAGCACAAGCCGAAUCUUUAAGAAAGCUUGAUAUCCCGAAAAUACCUCCAGCGACAUCAAAGCCAUCAAGCUCCUCCAAUCUGCGUGCUACUGCUUCAGCAUUAAAGCCCCCAAACCCAGGGGUGCGGAGGCUGCAGGCGAGUGCGAUUCCAUCAGGCAUCACCAAAGUGACUGCAGGCCUCAAACCACCUUUAACGAGAAGUUAUGCACAGACGUCUUCAAGCGCUGACAAACCUGUAGGACUUGCAGCUACGAUUCCUGCCACAAAGACUUCUCUGUCAAAGAAGCAUCCUUUGACCAGAGGAGACGCCUUUCCCUCAAAGAGGAUGAAAACCGAUGCUGAAGCCUCAACAGCUGUCCUGCAUACCAAGAACCUCAAACGGCCGACAAUCAGCCAGAGAACAGUUAAAGCUCAAAGAGACGACGCAGCAGUGCUAACAGCUGCUGCUGAACCGUUGAAGUCCUCCGACACUGGAAGCAAAACCAGAAUCCUGAAGCAGCCUCUUAACGUCCACAGAGCUCUGUUGCCUAAAGCACCGGGACACGGUGAGUCGCACGUGUAAAACUGAAGAUCACAUACGCACACAAUGAAUAAUAACAUUGGUCUUAAGAUGUUCACAUU
ensembl:lncRNA uncharacterized LOC114481637